rnacentral:lncRNA from 1 species
AAUCAACAUCAGCAGUGGCUUUUUCAAAGAAACGAAGGGAGAUCCAAGCAGACUAGAACGCUAAGGAUGAUAUAUGUUGAGUAUGUACUUGCCAUUUGGGGAGAACGAAACAACAACACUUUUGAGAACCUGGUGAAACAAUGGGAACCAAUUGGCAGAGAAAUCACGUACAUAUGUAACAUGAGGGCGGAAGAAAAUAUGAAGAUAUUGAUGCAAAGCCUCUUGUUGCCAGCUAAAUGUGUCUAGUUGUUACUCCAUAUUCUACUCUUCAACUCUUCAUGUAAUAGAAAGAAGUAUAAUGGUUGUGGUCGUAUAAAGCGAGACUAAUUUUGCAUAGCAGAUUGUGUUAGUCUGGCUAGUUUUGUAAUGCAUUCUUGAUAGUUAAUAAAGUUGUUAGUUACAAAAAAUAGCUUGCAAGACAUAAGAUAAUUGGUAAUAUCUUAUUAUGAGAACUUCAAUCAGUAAACUGUAUUUCAAAACAAACAAGCAACAGAGUACAGACAAUGAAAAACUAGCUCCAAUAUAUGACACUGCAGAGUUCCACUACUAUACAUGCCAUUCCUUCUAAACUUGUCAAUCAAAAUAUAAAGAAAAAAAAAAGCUUGCUAUUUCUUCUGAUUCCCUUAUUCUUCCUUAAUUAGUUAUUGUAUCAUCAGUUGCAUCUGACACUGUAUAAGGUCUAAGAUGAAUAUAUCUAAAUCAUCUGAAUUUUUUCCUUUAACUUUGACAACUAGAUGCGUGCAAAUUGACAAUUGAUGAGUGCCAAAGACACCAAUUGAUGAAUUUCAAACUGGAACGGGUAUCUUACCUUAUAACAAAGAAAUAGCAAGCCAAAAGUUCAAUUUCUAGCUCGAAUCACCGUCCUACCAACUUCCCCAAAGAAUUUGCACUACCAAAAAGAGGUUAUACAACUUCGCCAAACAAUUGCCAUCUCUAAAUCCAAUAAAUUCAAGGAACUUUGAAGCAACUUGAGUUUUUACAACCCAGACCAACCUCGGUACUACUUGAUUUGUGGAUAAAUCAAUCUCAAUGUCAUUCACUUCCUCAUUGAGAAUGGUUGCGGAAUCAAAGAUUUUGGUUGGCUUAGGAGCCUCUUCUUGAUCACAACAGAAUCUUUCUUGACCCAUUUAUCAUCUUACAAAACAUAUCCCAUGCUACCAAAGGAAUCAUCACUAUUCUUAUACACUCAAAUAUUAGCAUAAAAUACGAACAAGUUAUUCAUAGACCUCUAUUACAUAAAGUUUCAAUAGUAGACCAAGGUGUUGAGCCUAGAGAAAGGUACUUACCAGACAAUGGCUAUCCUUGAGUUGUCCCAGAUUGAUGAUUCGACCACCAACUUGUGAGCAUUUCUUAAGAGCAGGGUAUCUAUUCUUCUAUUCUACACUCUAGAAUAGGUGUAGAUCAACGAAAUUGAAAUCUGAGUCGUCACAAACUUCAUAUUUUUGGGAGAAGGGUUUUUGAUAGAUGGGUUUUUUGAGGGUUUUGGAGUUGCAUUUUGGGAUUCUUCUCAAUCGAAGCCCUACAAGACCUAGAGAGAGUGAGAGGAGAAAAUGAUUAUUGCGGCGGUAGUUGAAACGCUGUUCCCGAUGGUGGUCUCGUCGGUGACAAGCGGCCGUGGCAGCUACAUUUGAUUGUCCGCCGCCGGCGAUCAGUUCAUGGGGGGAGCGAGAAAGAGAGAGAAAGUGAAAGUGUAGGGAUUAGGGUUUUCUUUUUGGUUUAAAAGGAAAGAGGAAUAGGGUUUGA